rnacentral:rRNA from 1 species
CCUACGGGGGGCAGCAGUGAGGAAUAUUGGUCAAUGGACGCGAGUCUGAACCAGCCAAGUAGCGUGAAGGAUGACUGCCCUAUGGGUUGUAAACUUCUUUUAUAUGGGAAUAAAAUGUUCCACGUGUGGGAUUUUGUAUGUACCAUAUGAAUAAGGAUCGGCUAACUCCGUGCCAGCAGCCGCGGUAAUACGGAGGAUCCGAGCGUUAUCCGGAUUUAUUGGGUUUACAGGGAGCGUAGGUGGAUUGUUAAGUCAGUUGUGAAAGUUUGCGGCUCAACCGUAAAAUUGCAGUUGAAACUGGCAGUCUUGAGUACAGUAGAGGUGGGCGGAAUUCGUGGUGUAGCGGUGAAAUGCUUAGAUAUCACGAAGAACUCCGAUUGCGAAGGCAGUUCACUGGACUGCAACUGACACUGAGGCUCGAAAGUGUGGGUAUCAAACAGGAUUAGAUACCCCUGUAGUC